GUCCUUUUGGAUUUUUAUUUAAGGUCUAGUCUGCCCACUGAAUUUAUAUUUUAAAUGGCCGCAGUAUUUUGACUGUGCAAAGGUAGCAUAAUCAUUAGUUUUUUAAUUAAAAGCUUGUAUGAAAGGCUGGACGAGGUAAAAUCUGUCUCUAUUUAAAUUAUAGUAGAAUUUAACUUUUAAGUUAAAAGGCUUAAAUAUUAUUAAAAGACGAGAAGACCCUAUAGAUCUUUAUAAUUUAUUAAAUAAAAUUUAUUUAGAAUUAUUUAUAUUUUAUUUAAUUGAAUUAUUUAAUUGGGGUAAUUGAAAGAUUAAAUUAAUUCUUUUUUAUAAUAAACAUUGAUUUAUGAAUAUUAAAUGAUCCAGUUUUACUGAUUAUAAGAUUAAGUUACCUUAGGGAUAACAGCGUAAUUUUUUUAGAGAGUUCAUAUCGAUAAAAAAGUUUGCGACCUCGAUGUUGGAUUAAAGAUUAUUUUAGGUGUAGAAGCUUAAUAAUUUUGGUCUGUUCGACCAUUAAAUCUUUAC
rnacentral:rRNA from 1 species